CCCAGCUCCAACAGAAUCUGCUUCACCCCAAAAUACAGCCUCAGCAACCCAGAAGAUUCUGACAGCACCUCCCAGCUCAGAAUUCAACCCACUGCAACUCGGGUUUGGUAAAGGUAUCUUGGUAGCCCAAGAAAUAAGAAAAAAAAUACGAGAAAGAAUUGAUGGAGGAAAGAAAUUCAUCGAAGAGGGAACUGCAGCGGCACAGACCCUAGGGAAAAAAUUGUUUCCAACAAAAUUGUUGCCUGGUUUUUGAGAAGCUGAAGAAAUGGAGUCUCUGGACUUAACACCUUAAACAUACUUGUAGCCCAUAGCAAUUAAAGUGAAAGCAUCCAACUUGCCCUUGCCAGUGCUCUGUGGGGUGGGCCCUAGGGGAGCGGGGGCAAAGCCCGACGUGACCCAAGCUCCCAGUCCGUCACAGCCUGCCUUGGAGACACAGCCUGUGACAAGCC
rnacentral:lncRNA from 1 species